UUUGUUUGUCUACGAAAGCGGACGCGCGUUCGUCGCUUGCCUGCGCACGAAAGUCUCAAGUCUUUCGUACCCGUUCACGCGGUCAGAUCGUUCCAGCUUCACAGCACUGCUUGUCGUCGCAUUCGAAAGGUCCUGCACGUCGUUUGUCGUCGUCGUAGAAGCUAACAAUUGCCUUACGCAUUCCAGCAUCUAACCAUGGGCAAGGUCGUAGUGUUAAUUCUUAGCCUCGUCAUCUGCCUGGUGGCUCAGCAGGCGAUGGCAAAGGAGAAGCACAUCAAGUACACCGAGAAAGAUCUGCUGCGCAAGUCGAUCGUGUACGACAAAAACACACCCGAUGUGUUCUACUGCCCUGUCAGCAAACCCACCGGCAUGGAUAAGAUGAUCGUGAGAUCACGUCCGCUACAUAAAUUGUGCGAGCACGAGGGUAAACCUCUUCCGGCGCACUACAAGUCGGACUGCUACAAUGACGUAGAUGAGUCGAACUACGCCUGCAAGGAGAAGUACAGAAUAAUGAAGCGUUUUGCGAAAGAUAACGUUGAGAUCUAAGCAGGCUCGUGCAUCACGUGUGCAGCGUUUUCUCGUGCGAGCGAUUACUAAGACCAAGCAUUCUGACUUUAUUCUACCCUACCGAACCCUUUCAAACGUUCAAUGACUUGCCCAAACCACAUAUCCCCCCGAAAGGGUCUUUGUGUACAUUUCAACUUUAAACUAAAACUUGCAUAAUAUGAAUUGUAGUUAAACUUUAUUGUUGAAAACGUUUUACUAUUCGGCCGUUAUCUUCCUCUCCGUAGAACUUUUCUUUUUUCUUUAAUCCUUUCGCACCUCAAACAAAGAACUGUACUUCAAUGUUUGCUCAACUUGCUUUCUAUCUUUUUUUGUAGUUUAUAGUCAAAUUAAACCAAUUAUAAAUAAUACCAAAUCGUAAAAUUAGACCGCAUUCUCUUCUAAAUAGCGAAAGAGAGAGCAUUGCAGAUAUUCUUUUAUGAUCGACUAAUCUACAGACAGUGAGUAAACAAACUCAAAUUAACGGUUACCAAACAAAGAUAAACAGAAAUGCCCUAAUGGGACAUUCCAUCGUUCCUAAGAAUAGGAAAUUGGGUACAUUUAAUUAUAUCCUCGAAAACUCCACGUUCUUACUUCAUAUCCACACCAAAAUUUUCGUAACAACGGUGCAGAGGUUUUAUCUGCUAAUGCUUGGUGAACUAAACUAACAAGCCGGUUUGGCCACUUUUACUUACUUUAAGAAAUGUUCCGUUGAUGUUACUAGCUAACUUUUACUAACAACCGAUGGCCAAAUACUCACAGCUUGCCGCCGGUAGAAUUAACCCUCAAACGUGACUGUGGACAUCGUUAGGCAAAAGACACUUCAAAAGACUUUCCUUGAUGUACUUACAAAACCAAAACCACGCCUCAAUGCACACAGACACAGGUUGAGAGACAUUUCUGAAAAUGAAAUAUAUAUCGCUUUGCACAAGAAAUUUCACGAAGGGUCUGUGCACCCACUCGUUACACCUUGCUGCUUUUUCGCCAGCUAAAAUCAUUACACGGGAAAUGAAGGCCUAUACACGAAAGAUGCGGCAAAAUCCACCUGGCAGCGACGAACCGUUCAAUGGACAGCGGCUGAGCAGAUUCAUGGAUAUGGACGACGACAUGAAGCGCAUUAAAUCGAAAAAGCACUGAUACAGUUCAAUGAUCGAAUGACACCUCCAACUGCUUCUGUUCGCUAUGCCAUAUUUAUAAAACACUACAAUUUAGCUUGAGAAUUUCUUGAACCGGAGAAUAAGACCCAUCCACGCACGAACGGAACGAAGAAUGGAGAAGAUUCACCGUUAAAGAACAUUUUUCAGUGAUAUUAGCCUACAUUUGCUUUGGUAAUGAACCUCGGGACGAUGGGAAUUGGUUUACAAUUGUUGAACAGUUUGUUUUAAAUGUUGCCUGUGUUGUAUAAUCAGCGGAAUAUUUCUGCUUUAGAUAUGAGUGCGUCGAAACGACCUUUUUAGUUGGCUUAUUAACAUGGCCCUUUAGCCAUGCUGGAUUUCAAACCACUAUGUUGUAGUUAACGAUGUUUGCAGUAAUUUUUACUAAAUAAAGCAGUACUACUUCUAA